AUACGUAGGGGGCGAGCGUUGUCCGGAAUGAUUGGGCGUAAAGGGCGCGUAGGCGGCCCGGUAAGUCUGGAGUGAAAGUCCUGUUUUUAAGAUGGGAAUUGCUUUGGAUACUGUCGGGCUUGAGUGCAGGAGAGGUAAGUGGAAUUCCCAGUGUAGCGGUGAAAUGCGUAGAGAUUGGGAUGAACACCAGUGGCGAAGGCGACUUACUGGACUGUAACUGACGCUGAGGCGCGAAAGUGUGGGGAGCAAACAGGAUUAGAUACCCUGGUAGUCCACACUGUAAACGAUGAAUGCUAGGUGUAGGGGGUAUCGACCCCUUCUGUGCCGCAGUCAACACAAUAAGCAUUCCGCCUGGGGAGUACGGCCGCAAGGUUGAAACUCAAAUGAAUUGACGGGG
rnacentral:rRNA from 1 species